rnacentral:rRNA from 1 species
GACGAACGCUGGCGGCGUGCUUAACACAUGCAAGUCGAACGGUAAGGCUCCAGCUUGCUGGGGUACACGAGUGGCGAACGGGUGAGUAACACGUGGGUGACCUGCCCUGCACUUCGGGAUAAGCCUGGGAAACUGGGUCUAAUACCGGAUAGGACCGCACCGUGAGGGUGUGGUGGAAAGUUUUUUCGGUGUGGGAUGGGCCCGCGGCCUAUCAGCUUGUUGGUGGGGUAAUGGCCUACCAAGGCGGCGACGGGUAGCCGGCCUGAGAGGGUGGACGGCCACAUUGGGACUGAGACACGGCCCAGACUCCUACGGGAGGCAGCAGUGGGGAAUAUUGCACAAUGGGCGGAAGCCUGAUGCAGCGACGCCGCGUGGGGGAUGACGGCCUUCGGGUUGUAAACUCCUUCCACCAUCGACGAAGGGUUUCUGACGGUAGAUGGAGAAGAAGCACCGGCUAACUACGUG